GGAAUCAUUGGGUUUAAAGGGUCCGCAGGCGGCCAGAUAAGUCAGUGGUGAAAUUCCGUGGCUCAACCACGGAACUGCCAUUGAUACUGUUUGGCUUGAAUCAGUUCGAGGAUGCCGGAAUGUGUGGUGUAGCGGUGAAAUGCAUAGAUAUCACACAGAACACCAAUUGCGAAGGCAGGUGUCCAGAACUGUAUUGACGCUGAUGGACGAAAGCGUGGGUAGCGAACAGGAUUAGAUACCCUGGUAGUCCACGCCGUAAACGAUGGUCACUAGCUGUCCGGACUUAGGUCUGGGUGGCCAAGCGAAAGUGAUAAGUGACCCACCUGGGGAGUACGUUCGCAAGAAUGAAACUCAAAGGAAUUGACGGGGGCCCGCACAAGCGGUGGAGCAUGUGGUUUAAUUCGAUGAUACGCGAGGAACCUUACCAGGGCUUAAAUGCAUUAUGACAGGGGUGGAGACACCCUUUUCUUCGGACAUUUUGCAAGGUGCUGCAUGGUUGUCGUCAGCUCGUGCCGUGAGGUGUCAGGUUAAGUCCUAUAACGAGCGCAACCCCUGUUGUUAGUUGCCAGCGAGUAAUGUCGGGAACUCUAGCAAGACUGCCGGUGCAAACCGCGAGGAAGGUGGGGAUGACGUCAAAUCAUCACGGCCCUUACGCCCUGGGCCACACACGUGCUACAAUGGCAGGUACAGCAAGCAGCCACUGGGCGACCAGGAGCGAAUCUGUAAAGCCUGUCACAGUUCGGAUCGGAG
rnacentral:rRNA from 1 species